AGUGAACGCUGGCGGUAGGCCUAACACAUGCAAGUCGAACGGCAGCACAGUAAGAGCUUGCUCUUACGGGUGGCGAGUGGCGGACGGGUGAGGAAUACAUCGGAAUCUACUUUUUCGUGGGGGAUAACGUAGGGAAACUUACGCUAAUACCGCAUACGACCUACGGGUGAAAGCAGGGGAUCUUCGGACCUUGCGCGAUUGAAUGAGCCGAUGUCGGAUUAGCUAGUUGGCGGGGUAAAGGCCCACCAAGGCGACGAUCCGUAGCUGGUCUGAGAGGAUGAUCAGCCACACUGGGACUGAGACACGGUCCAGACUCCUCCGGGAGGCAGCAGUGGGGAAUAUUGGACAAUGGGCGCAAGCCUGAUCCAGCCAUACCGCGUGGGUGAAGAAGGCCUUCGGGUUGUAAAGCCCUUUUGUUGGGAAAGAAAAGCAGCAGGUUAAUACCCCGCUGUUCUGACGGUACCCAAAGAAUAAGCACCGGCUAACUUCGUG
rnacentral:rRNA from 1 species